AACAACAUUGCUACCACUGCUAGCAGUUUGCAUAAACGGAUUAGAUAACAUGACCAAUGGGAGAAAGUGCAUCAAAACCGAAAACCGACCUGGGAUUUACUGAAACCCUGUACUAAACCCCGAGUCACAAUCUACAGAGCUCAGAUAGCAUCAUUUGCCAACCAACACAGCAAUCAGAGCAAUGAGUUACAUUGCCUCGAUUGGAUUUGAAACAGACAAGGCUUGAUUCGAGAGAGCUUGACAACCGCUGCUCUCCAUAUAGCUUCUGCAUGCGCUUCAUAUGUGAAGCCGAAAUCCACAGGAAGUGAAACAUUGACACUGUUGUCAUUGCUUUCGUUUCGUUGAUGAAACCGAGUGGUAAUUGCAUACGAUGACAGAGGGAAUGAAACUGUGUUCGUUGUUUGAAGUAACUUCUUUGUUGUUGUAAUAUCGCAGGGCGGACGUGGCCGUUUCACAGAGUACGGAUUCCAGCUUUAAAUUAGGAUCUUAUCAAAGAUAUGAUACAUGAGGUUGGUGUUAUUCUCCAGGUCUACUGUAGACUAUUGCAGAUGGAGUAGAGCGUAUGGACAUUGUACUGAUUCUGUACUGAUUCUAUCCGGCUGCACCAACACCUCUCAUUAAGAUUACAUAACAGUACCAUGGCAACAGACUGCACCACAGGCUGGAUCACCUUGCAUUGAAUCACAUGACAACCCACCGAGAGGGACUACUUUCUCUCAAUCAACCCGGACAACUGCCUUGUCCAAUUGCAUAUGGACACGGCCCAGAGGUCCGGGCUGAACCUUGCCAGCUGGGGAAUGUAGUCAGCCACCUACGCAACAGAAAAGAAGGCAACAUAUCAACACUUACCAUUCCCCAUGGGCAUUUAAUCAGGAAAUGAUCAUCACCACCAUCACCACGCAGUCUCACUGACCCCGGGGCCUCUCCCUCACCCACCUGUCCCCCUCCCAGGUGUUUGGCAUUCUCAUAGAGAGCGUCGAUUUCGGAGGCAAAGGACACAAAGUCGGGGAUAACAAACUUCUUCCUGAAGGCCUGGGUGAGCAGCACGAUGUUGCUCUGGACACACCUGGGAGAGAAAAGGAGACAGUGGUGUUUUAUGUCAGGUACCAGAGUCUCCUUAUGACUAGUGUAACACAUGGAGUCCUGUGUGCUUCAGUUGGAAGAGCAAGACACUUGCAAUGCCUGGGUCACGGGUUCAAUACCCGCUGGGGCCACCGAUAAGAAACUCUAUGCAUGCAAGUCGCUUUGGAUCAAAGCAUCUGCUAAAUGGAAUAUAUUACUACAUUGUUAUUGUACAUAUGAUACAGGGAAUAGAAAACUGUGAGGAAUUAGCUCAUAGAUUUGUAUAAGAUGUUAUAUGACAUCAGAUAUAUAUUUACCCUGUCCUAUCCCUGCUACUGUAUAAAAUCAGAUAUCUAUUUACCCUGUCCUAUCCCUGCUACUGUAUAGAAUCAGAUAUCUAUUUACCCUGUCCUAUCCCUGCUACUGUAUAAAAUCAGAUAUCUAUUUACCCUGUCCUAUCCCUGCUACUGUAUAGAAUCAGAUAUCUAUUUACCCUGUCCUAUCCCUGCUACUGUAUAGAAUCAGAUAUAUAUUUACCCUGUCCUAUCCCUGCUACUGUAUAAAACCAGAUAUCUAUUUGCCCUGUCCUAUCCCUGCUACUGUAUAAAAUCAGAUAUCUAUUUACCCUGUCCUAUCCCUGCUACUGUAUAAAAUCAGAUAUCUAUUUACCCUGUCCUAUCCCUGCUACUGUAUAGAAUCAGAUAUCUAUUUACCCUGUCCUAUCCCUGCUACUGUAUAGAAUCAGAUAUAUAUUUACCCUGUCCUAUCCCUGCUACUGUAUAGAAUCAGAUAUCUAUUUACCCUGUCCUAUCCCUGCUACUGUAUAAAAUCAGAUAUCUAUUUACCCUGUCCUAUCCCUGCUACUGUAUAAAACCAGAUAUCUAUUUACCCUGUCCUAGCCCUGCUACUGUAUAAAAUCAGAUAUCUAUUUACCCUGUCCUGUCCCUGCUACUGUAUAGAAUCAGAUAUCUAUUUACCCUGUCCUAUCCCUGCUACUGUAUGCGCCCACUGGUGCGUUUACUGUAUAGGUUUCUCUUGCCCAUAAAUCGUUGCCUCCCAGAUGGCUUCCAGUCAAAGCUACUGCAGCUCCUAGCAUGUUUGUUUAGCUCCUAGUGUGUUGUCUUAUGAUCUGUAUCCUGCAGGGUGGCUUGCCUACAGAGUGGUUUCUCAAGCGGUCACUGGGCUAUGUGUGCUAUGUCACAUGGUAUGUCCUAGGGAUGUAAACAGGAACAAUCUUUUUAAAGCAAAUAUCAGCUGAUCUGGAAAGGACAGUUCUUGUGAUCGUAGAGAUGAGGCUCUUGACAAAUUGCCAUUCAUUAUUUUUGUAACAAGGAUAUUUUAAAAUGAACGGGAUUGAUAUGACCUUGGCAAUCUGAAAGGACUAGGCUAUGACAUGCUUCCUUAUAAAGGCUGAACUACUAUGAAUAAUUCAUGACUUGAAAUGCAUUGAGCAAAUACUUCUAAGGAACCUGAAUAAGUUAUGGCCCUACACGAACUGUGUUUAAAUAAAGGAGGCACACAAAUGACUAAA